rnacentral:rRNA from 1 species
GAUGAACGCUGGCGGCGUGCCUAAUACAUGCAAGUCGAGCGAACAGACGAGGAGCUUGCUCCUCUGACGUUAGCGGCGGACGGGUGAGUAACACGUGGAUAACCUACCUAUAAGACUGGGAUAACUUCGGGAAACCGGAGCUAAUACCGGAUAAUAUAUUGAACCGCAUGGUUCAAUAGUGAAAGACGGUUUUGCUGUCACUUAUAGAUGGAUCCGCGCCGCAUUAGCUAGUUGGUAAGGUAACGGCUUACCAAGGCAACGAUGCGUAGCCGACCUGAGAGGGUGAUCGGACACACUGGAACUGAGACACGGUCCAGACUCCUACGGGAGGCAGCAGUAGAGAAUCUUACGCAAUGGGCGAAAGCCUGACGGAGCAACGCCGCGUGAGUGAUGAAGGUCUUCGGCUCGUAAAACUCUGUUAUUAGGGAAGAACAAAUGUGUAAGUAACUAUGAACGUCUUGACGGUACCUAAUCAGAAAGCCACGGCUAACUACGUG